rnacentral:rRNA from 1 species
GACGAACGCUGGCGGCGUGCUUAACACAUGCAAGUCGAACGCUGAAGCUCAGCUUUUGUUGGGUGGAUGAGUGGCGAACGGGUGAGUAACACGUGAGUAACCUGCCUCCUUCUUUGGGAUAACGCCCGGAAACGGGUGCUAAUACUGGAUAUUCACUGGUCUUCGCAUGGGGGUUGGUGGAAAGGGUUUUUCUGGUGGGGGAUGGGCACGCGGCCUAUCAGCUUGUUGGUGGGGUGAUGGCCUACCAAGGCUUUGACGGGUAGCCGGCCUGAGAGGGUGACCGGUCACAUUGGGACUGAGAUACGGCCCAGACUCCUACGGGAGGCAGCAGUGGGGAAUAUUGCACAAUGGGCGCAAGCCUGAUGCAGCGACGCCGCGUGAGGGAUGGAGGCCUUCGGGUUGUGAACCUCUUUCGCUCAUGGUCAAGCCGCAACAAUGGUUGUGGUGAGGGUAGUGGGUAAAGAAGCGCCGGCUAACUACGUG